GAUGAACGCUGGCGGCGUGCCUAAUACAUGCAAGUCGAGCGAACAGACGAGGAGCUUGCUCCUCGGACGUUAGCGGCGGACGGGUGAGUAACACGUGGAUAACCUACCUAUAAGACUGGGAUAACUUCGGGAAACCGGAGCUAAUACCGGAUAAUAUAUUGAACCGCAUGGUUCAAUAGUGAAAGACGGUUUUGCUGUCACUUAUAGAUGGAUCCGCGCCGCAUUAGCUAGUUGGUAAGGUAACGGCUUACCAAGGCGACGAUGCGUAGCCGACCUGAGAGGGUGAUCGGCCACACUGGAACUGAGACACGGUCCAGACUCCUACGGGAGGCAGCAGUAGGGAAUCUUCCGCAAUGGGCGAAAGCUUGACGGAGCAACGCCGCGUGAGUGAUGAAGGUCUUCGGAUCGUAAAACUCUGUUAUUAGGGAAGAACAAAUGUGUAAGUAACUAUGCACGUCUUGACGGUACCUAAUCAGAAAGCCACGGCUAACUACGUG
rnacentral:rRNA from 1 species